UACGUAGGUGGCGAGCGUUGUCCGGAUUUACUGGGCGUAAAGGAUGCGUAGGCGGAUAUUUAAGUGAGAUGUGAAAUACCCGAGCUUAACUUGGGUGCUGCAUUUCAAACUGGAUAUCUAGAGUGUGGGAGAGGAGAAUGGAAUUCCUAGUGUAGCGGUGAAAUGCGUAGAGAUUAGGAAGAACACCAGUGGCGAAGGCGAUUCUCUGGGCAUUACCUGACGCUGAGGAGCGAAAGUGUGGGGAGCGAACAGG
rnacentral:rRNA from 1 species